rfam:Hordeum vulgare subsp. vulgare, WGS project CAJW01000000 data, contig: morex_contig_6381
CCACUUGGUGAUGAUUAGAUCCUCGCCUACAUGCUGGCCGGUCUUGGUUCUGAAUUCGAACCUCUCGUGGCCUCCAUCACCGCUCGCGAGGAGCCGAUCAGCCUCGGUAACUUCUACGCGUUCCUCGUCAGCGCCGAGC